rnacentral:misc_RNA from 1 species
AACAUCGCGCACCUGCGGGAACCUGCGGAGGGAUCAUUAAAAAAGGGUCUUUUGACCCAUUUUUUUUUAAAAAUUCACUACCAGUUUUACUGGAAGUGGGUUUUUUUCAAAUACCAAAUUUUAAACUAUUCGUCUUUUGACGAAACCCAAAAUUAAUAAAUAAAACUUUCAGCAACGGAUCU